UUUCCUGCAGCAUACAACAAUGUUUCGGCAGGACUUUUAUUUCAGCAAGAUCCUAAAGCGGUGUCAGACCCGAUCGGAUAGCUGCUCAUGCGUCCGAUACUAGGGCCCCGAACCGGACGUCCGGCUGCGCCGUUCUUGUAAUUAUCACUGCAGCAGACCGCAAAAAAUCCAAUCUCCAAUACCUGAUGGGACCCACGCGUCAGACAUUCUUUUCCUCCU
rnacentral:lncRNA from 1 species